rnacentral:rRNA from 1 species
AUACGGAGGGUCCAAGCGUUAUCCGGAAUCAUUGGGUUUAAAGGGUCCGCAGGCGGUCAAUUAAGUCAGAGGUGAAAGCCCAUCGCUCAACGAAGGAACUGCCUUUGAUACUGGUUGACUUGAGUUAUACGGAAGUAGAUAGAAUAAGUAGUGUAGCGGUGAAAUGCAUAGAUAUUACUUAGAAUACCGAUUGCGAAGGCAGUCUACUACGUAUAUACUGACGCUGAGGGACGAAAGCGUGGGGAGCGAACAGGAUUAGAUACCCGUGUAGUCC